GGCACUUUGGCGGAGUGGUUAACGCGCGGGCCUGCUAAGCCCGUUCCUUCGGUACGGCUUCCCCAAAUCUUGAUGUCCAAUCAGGUCACUAACAAUCCUCAGGGAGCCUGGGUUCGAUCCCCAGAGGUGUCG